rnacentral:rRNA from 1 species
UACGAAGGGGGCGAGCGUUGUUCGGAUUUACUGGGCGUAAAGGGCGCGCAGGCGGCUCUUCAAGUCAGGCGUGAAAGCCCCGGGCUCAACCUGGGAAUUGCGCCUGGGACUGGGGAGCUUGAGAUCGGGAGAGGAGCGUGGAAUUCCCAGUGUAGAGGUGAAAUUCGUAGAUAUUGGGAAGAACACCGGUGGCGAAGGCGGCGCUCUGGACCGAUACUGACGCUGAGGCGCGAAAGCGUGGGGAGCAAACAGG